rnacentral:rRNA from 1 species
AUGUCAUGGUUGCUGCUUCUCUGCCUAGUCGCCGCCGGCAUAUUGCAAGCUCCUGCGCAGCCAAACCCAGCAGGUUUCAUAAGCAUAGAUUGUGGUCUCCCGGGAGAGACGGGCUACGUGAACAACAUCACCACUCUAUCCUACACCACGGAUGCCAGCUUCAUUGACGCCUACGCCGGCUCAAACCACAACAUCUCAACUAAGUACAUGACCUCGACACUACCCAACAACUGGUGGUACACCCUGCGCAGCUUCCCCAGUGGGGCGCGCAACUGCUACACUCUCGGAUUGCUCAUGCCUGGGCUAAAAUACCUUAUCCGCGCCAAGUUCUUGUACGGCAACUACGAUGGCCUCGAUAGGCUACCUAUCUCCUUUGACCUCUACGUGGGUGUUGACUUUUGGAUGAGGGUGAACAUCCAAGUAUCCGGCAGGUGGGUGUUGGCGGAGGCCAUCGUGAUGGUGUCGCGUGAUUCCCUACAGGUUUGCCUUGUGAACGCGGGUGGCGGGGUGCCAUUCAUCUCUGCGCUAGAUCUGAGGCCCCUGAGGAACAAAAUCUACCCACAAGCCAACAUGACACAUGGCCUGGUUCUGGUCAACAGGAUCAACUUCGGACCAUACGAUGGAAGUGCUGCUAUCAGGUACCCUGAUGAUUCUUUCGACCGCAUGUGGUUCCCUGCUUCUGGCGGUGCAACAGCUUACUGGGAUGAGAUAUCAACGGAGAUGAAGGUGGAAAUUGGUGACGACCAAUUCCAGCCACCCCAGGCAGUGAUGCAGACGGCCAUCACGCCGAAGAACUUCUCCAGCAACAUAGAGUUCACCAUGGACCUCCAGAGUUCCCCUAGUUACUGGUCCCUGGGGUACAUUGAAAUGAUGUACUUCUCUGAACUAAAAUCUCUCCCCAAUAAUACACUACGACAGUACACCAUCUACCGGAAUGGAGAAGAGACCACAACAGCCUACACUCCGCCGUACCUUGACGAUGGUUACACCUACUCAGCUGAGCCAUUUCAUGCCAGACAGUACUUGUUGUCCAUCAACGCCACGGCUAACUCAACGAUGCCGCCCAUCAUAAACGCCCUCGAGCUAUUCUCCAUCAUUCCAACCACCACCUUGGGCACCAACUCACAGGACGUGUCUGCCAUCAUGACCAUCAAGGAGAGGUACCAGGUGCAGAAGAAUUGGAUGGGUGACCCAUGCGUUCCCGAUACUAUGGUCUGGGAUGGCCUAACAUGCAUCUAUGCCAGUUCCAAGCCCCCAAUUAUCUCAAACGUAAAUGUCUCCUUCAGUGGUCUGAAUUAUACUAUAUCACCUGAUUUUGCAAAUCUCACGGAUGUCCGACACUUGGAUCUGUCAAACAACAACUUGAUAGGUUCAAUUCCAGACACCCUUUCACAAUUACCGUCAUUAAUAUUUUUAGAUCUCUCAAACAACAAGCUCAGUGGAUCAAUUCCCUUUGGACUUCUAAAAAAAGUUCAAGAUGGCUCCUUGGAUCUAAGAUAUGGCAACAAUCCUGACCUCUGUUCUAAUGGGAAUACAUGCCAUCCUACUGAAGGAGAUAACAAACUAGCUAUCCACAUAGUAGUUCCGGUAGUUGUUAUUGUGGCAUUAGUGUUAGUGGCAAUACUAUGUUUUUGGUUACAAAGAAAAAGAAAGGAAGGAUCAAUCAGAAACCCUGUGAAGGUGACGAAUGACGGCGACUGGAUUAUUUCACUUCCACUUGAGAACCGUCAGUUCACAUACAUGGAACUGGAGGUGAUUACGAACAACUUCCAACGACCGCUUGGAAGAGGAGGGUUUGGGUACGUCUUUCAUGGCUCCCUGGAGAAGGGUACUGAGGUGGCAGUAAAGUUAAGGUCUCAUUCUUAA